rnacentral:rRNA from 1 species
UACGUAGGUGGCAAGCGUUUGUCCGGAUUUACUGGGCGUAAAGAGCGCGCAGGCGGUUGAUUAAGUCGAAUGUGAAAGCCCCCGGCUCAACUGGGGAGGGUCAUUCGAUACUGAUCGACUUGAAGGCAGGAGAGAGAAGUGGAAUUCCCGGUGUAGUGGUGAAAUGCGUAGAUAUCGGGAGGAACACCAGUGGCGAAGGCAGCUCGCUGGGACGUUACUGACGCUGAGGCGCGAAAGCGUGGGGGAGCAAACAGG